GUUGAGAAGGGCAACAUUUUAAUGACGCCGCUUGAGUUUUAUAAGUCUCUGAUGAAACGGCUAUGCUAUCAAGUGACUGACAAUGGAGCACGAAUAAUCUACAUCAGGAA